rnacentral:rRNA from 1 species
CCUACGGGAGGCAGCAGUAGGGAAUAUUGCUCAAUGGGGGAAACCCUGAAGCAGCAACGCCGCGUGCAGGAUGACGGCCCUACGGGUUGUAAACUGCUUUUAUACGGGAAUAACGCGCCUUACGUGUAGGGCUUUGCAUGUACCGUAUGAAUCAGGACCGGCUAAUUCCGUGCCAGCAGCCGCGGUAAUACGGAAGGUCCGGGCGUUAUCCGGAUUUAUUGGGUUUAAAGGGAGCGUAGGCCGCAUGUCAAGCGUGCUGUGAAAUGUCCGGGCUCAACCCGGGCCUUGCAGCGCGAACUGGCGUGCUUGAGUCCGCGGAAAGCAGGCGGAAUUCGUCGUGUAGCGGUGAAAUGCUUAGAUAUGACGAAGAACCCCGAUUGCGAAGGCAGCUUGCUGCAGCGGAACUGACGCUGAUGCUCGAAAGCGCGGGUAUCGAACAGGAUUAGAUACCCUUGUAGUC